UUGACCGAAAAUAAGAUUAGAUGUCCUUACUCUUAGUGUAUGAAUAGCAAGUUCUUGGUUGUUGGUAAGGUUCAAGAACACUUGUUUCUUAAAGGGUUUACCAGUGUGUACACAAUAUGGGAUGCACAUGGUGAAUUGUUUCAUACGGAUGAAUCUUCAGGACAUUUUGUUGGUGAGUAAAACAAAGUAGUUAAUGAAGUCAGAGUAGAAAAUCCAUAUGUUGAAAUGGUUAUGGAUGCUUUAUGACCAUAGUUUC
rnacentral:lncRNA from 1 species